ACCAGAUUUGAAGCCAUGUCUGCGACCAUACCACAGGUUAUGGCAACACUGGAUUCUUAACCCAUCGAGCAAUGCCGGGGCUCGAACCUGCAUCCUUGUGAUUCAGAUCCAUUUCCACUGAGCUAUUAUGGGAACUCCGUAUUCCUCCUACUUGGAAGUGAAGCUUUUUUUUUGUCGUGCCUGUGGUGUGCAGAAGUUCCAGGGCCAGCCAUGACCUGAGCUGCAACAGUGACAACAACAGAUCCCUAACCUUCUGAACCACCAGGGAACUCCAGAAGUGAAGCUCUUGAUGUACAAGUGUAAAGGAUGAGGUCAAUUUUUCAGCUUGCUGGAGAAGGGAUCUAGGUUAGUGAGGCCAGGCGACAGGGGUGGUGGCUGAGCUGCAGCAGCCUUGGCGCCCACGCCUCGUUCCAUCCGUCUCUCCUGCCUCCUUGGGGGUGUCUCAACCUUUCUUAGUCUGUCUCGUGUAAGGUCCCUGUUGGCCACUUUCACUUCUGUAUUUUAAUGGUGUGGACUAAUUUCCACUUUAUUUUUGUAUUUAUUUUAACACAAUCACUUAUAAUGAGGCUAAUGACAUUUUGUCUCCAUGGUGGCGCAUUUUAAUUUGGUCUUGGAAAUGUCAAAGCGAUCAGGCAAUUUGGUAUCUCGGAGACACAAAACGUGGUGGGGACAAUGGGCCCCUCUCCAUCAUUCCAUCUCCUUGUUAUCUGCUAGCUCCUGGGGCCACCCUGUCCCACUUGGCCAAGUCUCAGCGCUGGCGUGGACAGAGACAGCAGUAAAACAUCGCCAAGACAAAAGGCGAGGCUUGCACACACGGUCCCCUUCCAGCAUGCACAGUGAGCAUGAUUAAUCAGAUUUCUCCCCCGAAGCUGCAAUGAGGAAAGCAGGCAUCAUUUUCCUGGUGGCAUUUUUGUGCCAACCCAUGUCCUUCCCUCCAUCCCAAGGUUUUCCUCUGAGCUGCCCGUAGUCUCCUUUCUCUCUGCGUUCCCGUUCUUUCCUUUAAGGGCUGGCAGCUGUUUCCCAUGAAGCAAGUAUUUUAGGCUUUGUGGGCCCAUGAGGUCUUGAUUUCAUAUUCUUCCUCUUUUUACAGCCCUUUAAAAAUGUAAGAAAUGUUCUUAGCUUGCAGACCACAUGGACUAUCCAGCAAUGUUGGGUUGGGUUUAGAGAAAGCAUUUAGGGGAAUUUAGUUGGAGGCUUGAGCCUUGUUUCCUUUGGUGAGGAAGUCAUUGAAGUCUCUGUUCCGUGUGACAGAGCCCCAAAUAGCCGGCAGGCUGAGGUUGGGGCUGGUGGCUUCUCUGAUGGUUAAAUGUCAGAGGUGUCCAUGGAGGCUGCUGGCUAUGGCUUGUUCUGAAGGUGGGACUCUGGCUUGGUGGGUGUCUCCCAGGCAGCCUGCACUGUCCCAUGUUUGUCUGAAAACUGCUACUGUCUGGUCUCAAUUUGGAGCCCUAAUUCCGCCCAUCCUGUCCUGCUCCGGAAUCUCUCUGCAUCUAGUGCCCUCACUCCCAGCCUCCUUGGUACCCUGUUCCAUCUGUGGUAGGAAGGAGACGGCCGUUUGUGCAGAUGGCAUGGUGCUGUCGCUUCCAAGUGAGAGCAACCACAUUUGUCUUCUCUUCUGCCCCAAGGCUUGUGCCAUGGAUGCUCAUCUCUGAGAUGGAACCUGAGCGUGAAGGGAGGGUCUCACCGUGGCAAAAACUUCGGGGCACUUCAGGGAAACUCCAGCCUAACACAGAUGGAGCAUGGGCCCAGGGGUCGACUCUCGCAGACUUCUACUUAGAAGCCACUUUGUCAAAUUCUUUGCCAGCUUUCCCAUGCAGUGAGGAUACUUUAUCUCUAUAAAGUAGCAAUAAGUGGACAGUAUAAUAUAUUUCACUUGUAAUAAGGUGUUGCCAGUUGCACACACUCUGUAGAGCAAUUAGUGUCAAAAGCGCUAAGCAAUGGCGGGAACUGCAUCUGAGUGUUUACAGAUGGGAAGGAUUUAUAGCUGGGCUUGUGGGAGCUGUGGCCACAGUGUGGGGGCUGGGGAGAUGCUGAUCAGUUGAGUUUAAAUCCACAGCCCUCUCAUGUCUCUGAAACUUCUCAAGGCAGGGCGUGGUGGUGCUGUGAUGUUCGUUCCUGGGGCUGGGGGAGAGUGAUGGUCCACAUGGGGCUCCUGGCCCAGGAAAGAAGGCUUCAAGCGGGGGCGGGAUCUGGAGGAGGGUCCCCUGCAGGCACUGGCGUGGAGAACGGUGAUGAUGGUGAGAAGCAGGGCAGCUGGGCCUCCAGGACAGACCCACAAUGUGCAGCAGCAGGAGUGAACGCUAAUGGAAACUGAGGACUUUGGGUGAUUAUGAAGUGUCCAUGCAGCUUCAGCUGUGACCUGUACUGCUGGGGGGUAUUGAUAAUGGGGGAGACUGUGACUGUGUACGGAUAGAGGUUUUGGGGUAAAUUUUUGUGCCUUCCUUUCGAUUUUGCUGUGAACAUAAAACUUUUCUUAAAAAGAAGUCUUAAAAGUAAUCCCUGAUUAGUAGCAUUUGCUGAUUCUAGGGUAUAAACUCUUCAUCCGUGGCUGAUUUCCAGCUACCCAUGUAUGUGAUAUAAAGAGCCUGAAUCCUCACUGAUGACAUGCUGCUCUGCCGGCUGCUGAUUUCCCAUGCACGUGCCUUUGUUUCUAGACUCACUUGGACACCAUUGAUCUGUUUGUCUGUCUUAUGACUGAACGGUAGUACUUUCAAUUAUCGUGGCUUGGUUAGCUUAAUAAAUGUUCCUCCAAACUAAUUUCUUAUUGAUUAGUCAAGCACCAGCCUCCCUGGGACUUCGCCUGAGGUUACUUUAAGUUUAUAGACACACGGACUCCGAGCAUCUCUGCAACAUUGCAGCUCCCCGGUAAGACCACAUAUCCAUUUGAUAAAUACGUAUUUAGAAUCUUAUGUACCAGAAACUCUUCUUGGCUCUGUGGUGGGCAAGCUUGCUAAAGUUCCUGCUCUUACAAAAACUUACCUCUUGGAGGAGGGAGGGAAGGUUGGUGAUGAGCAGGUGGACAAAAGAAGCAUGCAAAGCCCCUUUCAAAUGGCAUACAUAUUAUGAAGGAUCAUCCAAGGGACCACACCUGAAGGGGAGUCUACUUUGGGCUGUGUACGCAGGGAUCCUCUCUGAGGGAGUGACAUUUUCGUGGAGGCCUGAUCACCAGGAGACAGCUGGAGAAAAAUCUGGGAAGAACACUCCAGAGAGAAGAGCCAGUCAAAGGCCCUUGGUGGUCAGAAACCACUUCAUCAGCUUUAGGAGAUGAAAAAAGACCAGGUGGGAGGUGGGGUUGAGGAGAGGGAACCUGGGGCAACAGGAGGUCUUUCCCAAGUGGUCAGAGAUGUAGGUGAAGAUUCACUCAUUCACUUAUGUAGGAUCUUCAGGGCUUUGGUAAAAGGUUUGGCUAUUAUUCUGAAUACAAUAGAUGUCCUUUGGAGUGAUGUGCAUAAAGGGGAAUGAUUUGAUUUACAAUUUACCAGCACAUUCUAUUUUCCGUAACAAGAAUAGAUUAAAUGUGUGUUGGGAGAGGGAAAAUGGACAAUUUAGGAAACUGUUGCUGUAGUUGGGAUGAAAGGCAAGGGGGCUCUGGAUCUUGGCAGUAACCCUGGAGCUGAGAGCUGCUACUGGGUUUUGUGUAUAUUUUGGAAGUGGGGCUGGAGGGCCUGCCAUUGCACUGGUUGUGUGGAGUGAAGUUGCUGAGAAUGUGUAGGCUGCAGAGACUGCAGGUUUGAGAUGCUCAUUGAAUGGUAACAUUGGAAAGAGGCAGAGCCCAUGGGCCUACCUGGAGGCCUUGUGGACUCUGCAUUUACUCUGAAAAAUCAUCCAAAUAGAGCUGUUGGGGGGAGGUUGGAGGUAUGGGCCCUGAGCUCUGGGGAGCAUUCUGCCAGCAGUCGAUGUGAGAAUUCUCAGUGUGAAGACACAUCAAGAGAGGAAGAAAAGCCCUGAUGGUGCAGUUAUGAGCAAGACAAAGAAGUUUUUGGGGAAGAGGUAAUUAUUGUCUCAAAUGUUGAUGGUCAAGCUUGAUGAAGGCCAGUGAGCAGAUGGUUCGGACCUUAGGAACUGGUCGUUGAUAACUGUUAUCUGGAGUAAUUAAAAUGGAGUGGUGAGUUCAGAUGCCUGACUGUAGUUGAAGGAAGAAUGGGGCAUGAAGAAAUUGAAAUAUAGUCAAUGUUCACCAUUUGCAGUGGUUUAAUUCUGCAAAAUCACUACGAAAGCUACAUUAGUGACCAUGGAACCAUUGCUCCCAGGGCUAAGAGAGGGAAUAUUCCUGUGAGCCUCUGAUUACAACCUUCCAUCAACUGAUCAAUAUGUAGAAUUCCAUGCAUUUCUGUUUAAAGGCCCUUGGUUUAAUACAUACUAUUGAUUCAUUACUACUGAACUUAUGACCAGAACCUUACAGUUUAUACCUGAACAAAGCUUACCUAAUGUAUUCUCUCCAAUAUCAUACAUCUCAGCUUUCUUGUUCUUAGAGAUAGUAGAAGGAGCUUCAUUCAGUACUAUGCUUGGGGGCUAUUUUAAACAGUGAAACGACCAACAAAAAGCAUGGAAAUGGGGAAAAUGUGGUGCUAAAUAGACAGAAAAAGACUCUUGCUUAGAGUGUGAUCACUGAGAAACAAUGGCGUGUGUGUGUCAGGGCAAAUCAAGUCUUGUGCUGUUCAGCACGUUCACCCAUAACUGCAAACAUACCCCAAGUGUUGAUUUGGGGGUUGCAGAUAGAUUUGGGGGAGAAGGCAUAUUUGCAUUCAUGGGAUCUGUGAAUAAUGAGAGUUGACUCUGUUAACCAUAGGCAAUCCCUUGGAGAUAUUUUUCCGUGAGGUUUGGUGUGGUAAUGGAAUUCUUAUUUUGCUUUUAAAAACAUGGGUGAUGCUAUAGUGUGUUGUGUAGGAUGAGAAGACUGACCCAGUACAGAGAGUAACUUGAUGACAUCCACUGACCAGGAAGAUCUUCAGUACAGUGAGAAGAGGGAGGAAUCCAAAUCCUUGUGGGAGGAGGCUUUGAUCAGAGCAAAUCUAUCUCUCAGGGCUGUUCUUAAUGUCUUCUUGUAACUCUUUAUAGUUUUAUUCAUGUGGUUUGUAUUUCUUAUUAAAUUAAUUCCCAGACAUGCUACAGUUUUUGAUGUUUUGAUUGGGUUUUCCUUAUAAAUGGACUUUACAACUACUUAUGGCUGGUAUAAAGGAAAUCGACUGUUUUUUAGUAUAUUUUAUAUCUAGUCACGUUUUCAACGCUUAGCAAGUUUUAAUAUUUUUACUUGCAUUUCUAGGAAAAUAAUUACAUUGUUUUAGAUAAUAAUACAUUUAUCUCCCCCCCCCCAUGUUUAUUUAAAAUCUCUGGAUGGAUACUGCAUUUUCGUAAUUUUAUAGAAUUGCCUUUUAUAUUUCAAAAUUUAAUAUGAGCUUUGCUGCUAGUUCUGCUUUUAUAACUUUAAGCUUUAGGAUGUUUCCUUUUUUCCUAUUUUGUCUAAAAUUUUCAUUCUUUUCAGUAUGAAUGAUUGUUAAUUUUAACAGAAGCUCAUUUGGCAUCUAACAGUGUGAUUACAUGAUUCUUUCCCCCUCUAUAUUUUAAUGUAAUGACUUAUUGUUCUUCUGUAGUUGAAAUCUGGAAUGCCUGGCAUGAACUCUCCUUGGAUUUGGUGCAAUUUCAAAUAUGCUACUGGAUUUUAUUUUACUAUUUUACAUCACAUUAUUUAGUGAAAUUUAUCUGAAAUUAUUUUGUUUUCUCUAGCUGGCUUUUGCAGCAAGGAGUUUUUUUGCCUUCAAAUGACUUGGAAAAGUUCCGAACUGCUUUUCCUGUAGUUUUCUCCACUUCUCCCAUGUCCUCAACCCUCUUGCUCUCUCUUCCUAGUUCCAUUCUUUGGCAGCACAUCCACCACCUGACCACAGACUUGGCCAUCACUUCCAGUGUAUUUGCUGGUCUUCCUCUUCAUUCUUGUUCUCUGAGUCACCAACUGUUGGUUGGUUGCUUGCUUGCUUGCUUUUCCUUUUAAUUUAGAAUCUCAAGGUAGAAGCUCUGAUGUCAUUGAUGGGAUAUUACCAUCAUCAAACUAUGUAUUAAGUCCUUUCUUGUCUUAUUUAUGUAAUUCUUUCUUUCUUUUUUUUUUUUUUUUUUUUUUUUUGUCUUUUUGCCUUUUCUAGGGCCGCUUCCUGUGGCAUAUGGAGGUUCCCAGGCUAGGGGUCUAAUCGGAGCUCUAGCCACAGACCUACGCCAGAGCCACAGCAACACGGGAUCCGAGCCACGUCUGCGACCUACACCACAGCUCAUGGCAACGCCGGAUCCUUAACCCACUGAGCAAGGCCAGGGACUGAACCCGCAACCUCAUGGUUCCCAGUCAGAUUCGUUAACCACUGUGCCACGACGGGAACUCCUUACGUAAUUUUUUCUUGUUAUCUCUAUUUUUCACUGCUGUUCUCCCAUAAAAACCAUUCCAGUGGAUUUAAUGUGUAUCCUUUUAGGGUCCUAUGUAUAGAGAGUUUACUUAACAUGAAAUUCUUACUAUUUUAUACUGUUUUUUCUUUCCUGCACUGUUUAUUUCCCUGUGUUGAUCUAACUCUUAGUCUCAGUGGGGCACAUCCAUCACAUUGUGUUGGUCCACUCUUGCCGUUUGUGAAUACCCGAUUACCUGCAAGGUGAGUGCUGAGAUGAGCAUCUUUAAAAAUGUUUCUUAUAGACCUCUUUGGUUUCUGUCCUCAGGAGUAAAAUGGUGGAUGCAGGGGGUACAUCACUUAAUCUGAGCGUCCCCCACAAUGGCAGGGCAGUGCCCACACACUUAAGUGCUGUGGGACAUCCUUCUCAACAGCCUUCAUUACCCGGCUUAGCCAACUUUCUAAUUUUUGGUAGUCGAACAGGUGUAAAUGUAUCAUUUUUAUUUUACUUUGAGGAUUUUCUGAUCACCAAUUUAAGUAUUUCUUCACAUACUUGUAAACUCUUUGCAUUUCUCCUUUAAAUCCCUCAUUUAAAUUCUUUGCCCACGUUUUUGUGAGGGUUACUGUCUUUCCCUUGUAUGCAUUCCUUGCACAUUCUAAAUACUAGUCUUUUGUCAGUUUCAGGCACUUCAAAUAUUUUUUCCCCCUUUCCUCUAUCAUGAUGGUUAGAAGUUUACUUCUAAUUUUGAUGUGAUCAAAUUUCUUGAACGUGGAGUUCCCAUCAUGGCUCAGCAGUUAUGAGCUCUACCAGCAUGCAUGAAGAUGUGGUCGAUCCCUGGCCUCGCUCUGUUGGUUAAGGAUCCGGCGUUGCAGAGAGCUGCGGUGUCAGUCCCUGAUGAGGCUCGGAUCCCAUGUUGCUGUGACUUUGCAUAAGUUGGCAGCUGCAACUCUGAUUCGACCCCUAGCCCAGGAACUUCUGUAGGCAUGGCCCUAAAAACCAAAAAAAAAAAAAAAAAAAAAAAAAUCUUAAACUUUUGUGGACCAUUUUAGACUUUUUUAAAGAGCAAUUUUUUCCACCUCUAGGUCACAAAGAGAUUCUACCAUAUUUUCUUCUAUUAUAUUUUUGAUUUUACCUUCUCAUUUCAGCUCUAAACUAUCUUGUGUCUUUGAAUGUGGAGUUAAGUAGAUGAUAAUUUAUUUUUUCCAAAUAAUCUGGUUUUCAUUAACAUUGUUCUUCUCCCUAAUUUAUUUAUCUUGUCAUCUUUAUUACAUCUUAAAGCUCUAGCAGCUAUUUUCAGUGGCAAUGAAACAAGUUUUGCCUACGGGCAGCAUGAGACAGAAGUAAUAGGAGAAGGCAUAUGACUUCCUUGCCUACCUUCCUUUCCCUUUCCAUCUCCCUGCCAUCCUCCGUCCUAAGGGCUACUGUCUCCCCCCAUCCCCAGAGCCACUCAAGAUCAAGGCAGAUCCCAGACUCUCCAGGGGUUUCUUGUGAUGCCGAUAUUUCUGUGUAACUUGGUAAGUCCCCCGUGCUGUCCUGAGUACUGUUCCCCGUGGUUUAUUUUAGGAGGGGGAGUUGGAGCCCAAACGAGCUGGCUGCUCUGGCAAGGGAACACCUUGCUAGAUGCCACUGGCCACCUCAAACUUGGGACUGCAGCGACUCGGUAACAUCCCUUCUCUGGAUACCGGUGCUGGCAUCAUCAUUAUCCCAAAUACCUGUGACUCCUCUCCUCCCUCACUGUCCCUCUGGAUCCCAUCAGUCUGCAAGUCUGGUGAGCCAGCCUGGUGGUGUCCCUUGGGUGUAAGAACCAUACUUUCCCUGCUGUCCCUGCCUCCUGCCUGGCUGGGCGCCUUAUCCGCAGUCCCUGCUUUGCUGCUCAGGCUGCCUCUGAGCUCGAAAGUCUCGUUCAGAGACCACUGCACACGCUGCCCUCCAGGAUUCCUUUUGGACAGACUCCUUCGCAUGACGCUUCGAGCCCUUUGCUCUGACCUCAGCCUCCUCCCUCAUUUCUGUCUGGGAAUCCUGCUUCGAUCCCUUGUACUUGCCUGCCCCUGAGUCGAAAGCCCUCCACGUCCUGUCCUGCCCUCUGUGCUCUUCCCUCCCCUUGGGACACCCAAUGCCUCGCAUUUGCUUUAUUUGUUGUAAGGUGGUGACCUCAUCCUCUACCUGACUGUUUACCGCUCCCCCCUGCCCUGUUUCCUCAUCUCAGCCUCUUGAGCUUUCAGCUUUCUCUCAAGACUUAGUUCAGACACACUGCUAAUAUGACACUUGUAGUCUGAGCUGCUGGUUCACACUUGGGUGGAGAUUUUACGUAAACUAUGGAUUUCGGUAGGGACUGAAGGGGCCUGAUGAUCCGAGGGCUUUCCUGCUAGAAAACAACACCCCUUAAUGGCCUGAACACUUUCCUUCUCACUAGCUGAAGUAGCAGCCUCUGCUCCAUGUGUGUCUGUAAUUCUGGGAGGGCAGGCAGUGUCUGCUCCUGUAGAACGGACUGGAUUCUGAUGCUGGAUCAGCUGUGCUGUGUGGCCAUUGGCUAGUACCUUCCCUCUCUGGGCUUUGCGUUCUCUAAUACAAAAUGAGCUGAUUAGACUCCUCCUCUUUAGGGACUCGUCAAUGUAAUAUUUGAUUAGUGUGAGCCUUUUUGGGACAGGAAAUCUUGUGUAUUUUUGCAUAUAGAGGCCGCCCAGUGAAUGUCUCGAAUUAGCUUCAUGAUGAAAUCCGGGCCCCGAAUUUGUACUGUGCUUUCAUAUCCACAUACACACACACAAUCUCUAGAAAGUUGUUUCGCAUCAGUGCGCUAUGCUACCUUGGUAAUAACCUCAGGCCUCAUUACCUAUGUCUGCGUAGACCUGGCUCCAGCCUCUUGUGCACCAGCCCCCAACCCCCACGUUGGGGUGGGGAUAAGCCCUUGCAUUGUUGCUAAUCCCAGAAAGGCAGGAUGGUGAGACUUUUUGUUCAUAGCCUCAGACUAUGCAGUUCAUUUAGAUAAAACUUAUUCAAUCAUCUCUUCCUAUUGUACCAGCUUUAGGUAGAGCCCGGGGGUAGAUGCCAUCAAGCUUAAAAGAGAUAAAUACAUGAUCCUCUGUAAGUAGCUUGCAAGCAACUUAGGAGAGUCAGAUGUGGAUGACAGAAUGACAGUGGCUGGGUGCAUAUUAACCAGGGUGGUGAGUUAGUAUGGGAGUGAUUUCAGAGGAAAGAGAUGGCUUCAUGGGUAAUGUGGGGUCUAGACUAUAGGAGAAUGGUUAGGAUUUCAUCCUCAGAAAACGACCGAGAGGCACCACCUGAGGGCAUAUGGGCACCUCAGUGAGGAAGGGACACAUGGGGGACUCACAGUCAGGAGUCAGGGUCCGCAGAGGCGACUUGGCCACAACAUCUGGGGUGUUGUGGGGUAAGGAUGGCGCCAGUUCUCAGUAAGCCCGAACUCAGGACAAGCAGAAGGUCAUGUUUCAAGGUGAGGAUUCUAGAAGCUGCCUCCAGGUUCAAGGCCUGGGUCCAUCCCUCCUGGGUCUGUGAAUGAAGGCAGGUUAUGUAAUCACAGGGACCUCAGUCUAGGUAAAAUGAACAAUUCUAAUAGGGCCAACCUCAGAGGAUGCCAGGCCUAAGAGAAGUGACCCAGCUUAAGAUUAACGAGGUCUUAAGUGACUGAGACAGAGAUCAGGUGACCACACGGAGGGACAGGAAGCCACAUGUACUUGGACCCUUGUCUUUAAAAGGCAAAGAUUCUGGGAGUUUGGGAGACUGGAGCGCCAUGUAUCAGGUCAGGGCUCCUGGAGCAGGAUCACUUGGGUCAGGAGGAGGCCCCGCUUGGGACUUUGCGCUUUUUUGUGAUGGGGAAGUGACACAUGUCCUGGCCAGCUCCCUGGUUUGUGCCUGGAAGGCAAGGUUCAGAGUUCAGGACUCUGGGGCUGGGGGCUGGGAUGGCUCCCAGCAGGGAUGUGGGCUGAGGGUGGUGAAGUGCAGAGGAAGUCAGAACCCAGUAAGGACUGCUGUGUGCUGUCCUGGUCCCACCGAGUAUCUCACUGGGAAUGUGAGGAUCAUUUUGGGUCCAGAUGGCCAAGUGCCACGCUCAGCAGCUUGGGCAGGGCUGGCCCUGCAGCACCUUAGUUGAGUUGCUGUAGGGUGUGCCUGGAGUAUUACCUCCCGACCUCUGACCUCCCUGCAGGUGUAGGGACACCCCCUCCCCCUCCCCCAGAGUCUGUGCAGCAGGGGCUGCAACUCUGCUAAUAAGACAACACAGACAGUGGGGCUUUACAGGUCGUUACCUGGCUUAGCUCCUGUAACUGGCUUGGGUCAGGACUGUGGCUGAGUUGGGGGAGUCUGGGGCUGAGAUGGGGGAGCCCAUGCAGGAAUGUGCUUGUGUUUGGUGUUGUGAGAGAACCAUCACCUGUGCCCAAAGAGAACUACAUUUGUUGUGGUGGCCCUGAGAGGUCACUGUGCCUGAGAAUCAUCUGAGGGUCUUAAGGGCAAUGGACCCCCUGGGCCACUGUCCCAGUUUCUGACUCGUGAGAUCUGGGGUGACAGACAGGCAUGAGCACCUGUUAUGUCCACACCACAUGGCUCAGAUGCAGGUGUUCAGGGCUUCUGCUCACCCUGAGGAAGACUGGUUUACAUCGGCUUGCUAUGGGCCAGGCAUGGCCUUAAGCUCUAAAUAAGUUAUUGUAUUUAAUCCUUAUGUGUCCUUUAAAUGGAGCACUGUUAUUAUCUUUAUUUUACAGGUUGGAAAAAAGGCAACAAAACAGCCCUGAGGCUUAAGUAGAUUAAGUGAUUUGCCCAAGAUAACAAUGGUACAGAGUGACAGCCUGGGAUCAGUUUGGCGGGUGGGACUUUUUUUCACUUAACUCUACCCCUCAGGGCAGCAGCCCCGGGGGAGUUUAUUAGAUAGUAGAGAAUGGCAACAAAAUGAAAAAAUGGAUACAGCUGCAGCUCUUGAGGAAUCCAAAGUCUAAUAUUGGAGACCAGGAAGAAGCACAUGUUAAAUGAGGAAACACGUAAUUGAAAUGUCAAAAUAGUGUAUCAAAUGGAAACAUGGGGCAGAAAUGAUUAUUUUUUUAGUUUGUCUACAGCUUAGGUUAGUCUCCAUGGCCUUUGAAGGUGUAGACCCUGUACUCCAAUUAUAGGUCUGGCAUUCGUCUGGCAUCCCUUCUGGAAGAAAGGUGGCUGGAAAGAAAGCAGCUCACAUAUGCCUGCACUAAUCUCCAUAAGCAUCGAUGACAGGCCUGGAGCUGGGGUGCCGCCUGCUGUGGGUCCUUCCCACGUGGGUCAGACCCACCGCAGGGCUGCUCACUGAGGACAUGGCAAGCUUUUCUCCCUGAUGCAGCCUGGAAGACCCCUGGCAGAUCGCUCUGGUCUCAUGCGGUCUAAUCCACCUCUUCCUUGGCGACACUGACCCCAACUGCUGUCUGAAGGAGGAAGGGGUGGGACUCUAGGGGGAAAGCCGAGGAGAAGCGGUCAAACCAGAGGGUGAAUUUGGGGCGAGGCAGAGCAGAGGCCUCGUCCUUCACCCUCUCAUUCUCAAAACUCAGGAUGUUCUCUGGGUGGGUUGUGAAUUCUGCCCUUUCACCCAGACCCACCCUCCCCUGAGCAGAUUUGCCCCUUUUCCAAUAAAGGCAAACCCAAAUUAAAUCUAUAAUUAUCACUACUAAUUCCACUUAAUUAGUCACAAGCCAGCAGCCAAAUUGGCUUUCUCAUAAUUAUCUGAUAAGCAGUAAGCACAUCUCAUAGAUUAUAAUUAACACUACUUAAUUAAAAUCUAAUAUACAUACACCCUUUCCUCAAAAUACAUCUAAUUGGGUUCCUAACAGCAGCAGAUAAAAAUUAUUCUCUAGUUGCCCCUCCAUAAGGAUUUCAAAUAUCCUCUUUUCUGAAGUCCCCUGAGAAUGGAGGGGGAGUUACAGAUACACUUGCUGAUUUACUUUUACAGCAAGUGAUGUAUUUUCUUCCCAGGGGACUGGGAAAGCCAUUGGUCUUUCCUUUCUCUUGAAGCAUCACCCAAACUAAGAAAUGCUUGGUGUGCAGUGACCACACAGCUGAUUUGUGCUGCACGCCAGAGGAAGUUCAGCUUCCCACUUAAAUUUCUUUACAUUUGUCCUCAGUGUCCAAAGUUCCCGCCUACCUCUAAACUUGAAAAAAAAAAAAAAAUCCUAUCAAACUUCCAAGCAUCAUUUUUGAAAAUGAAUGGAUUCAAAGCUGUUUUGAAGUUCUGAGUGGCUGUGAUAGGUGUUUUUCAGCCACUUCCACCUCCGCUGGGCUGAGGAUCACAGGUGUGUGUGUCUGAUCCCGAGGGGCACCAGCUGGGAUGAGAAGGCAGCACUUCAGCAUCUUGGAAGUGAAAAGGCUCCGUUCUCGGUGAGAUGGCCAGCCACCACUGCUCAGAGAGUUCAGAGAGCAGGUUAAGGAGGCCCAUCGAUGGCCGCUGAUUCCUGUCCUUUCCUGCUAAACCAACCUGGAGGAUGUGGAAAGCUGGGGCCAGAGGAUGCAGAAAGCUGGGGCUGCGGGCUGCAGGCAGGGGAGGGGUGAGGAAGGUGGGGAGGGUGCCUGCAACAGAAGUGGCAGGGCUCCUGUCAUGCAGAAACUGGGGCACAGGCAAGGCUGCACGUGUGACUGGUCAUUUGCAGACAGGGAGAUGGAUGCCUGAUAACCUGUGUGUUUCCUGAGAACCUGCUCUGUAGGGUCCAGAGCUUCUGUCCAUGGUCUCCUAUUCGCCUCCCUUUCCUUGUGCCUAGUCUAGUGCCAGGAAAUGGAAGGGCGUGAAUAACUGGUUUCUGUACAGAUACCUAGGUGUGGGUGGUUUAAUACUCACCUUUCAGAAUAUCAAACGGGGGUAGGAGAGUGAACUGAGAAAUGGCGGCAGGAGGACUGGAACCCAUGGUUUUGGGAACUUGUCACCGCUUGCUCUUUCCCAGGACACGUGUGCCCUGUUCAUCACCUGCCCUCCCUGCUAGCUUCUGCUCCAGGAGGGCAAGGCCUGGGAUUAGUCUUUUCACAGUUCUGUUCCCCACCCAUCCUCACACCCCCAUAGAGUCCCGCAGGUAAUGGGUGUCCAGCCUACUCCUGUUAAUGGACAGAUGGAUGACUGUCCUGUGAUCUCUUUCCUACUGAAAAAAAGGCAAAUUCACUGCUAGUUACUACUGCACAGGGAAAAUAGGUAAUCCUGAACUGUGAGAUUGGUUUCAUUUUCAUUGCUCCUAAAUUUCUCCCAUGAAGUCCAUCAGGAUCAGGAAAAGCUACCCAUUACCCAAAAAUAGGGGUGGGGGGUGAGGGGAGUCUACCUCUAAUGUGUCUUGGCAUUUCUAUCUAUUUACUUUUUUCUUUCUAUCCAGUCAAACUAUUUGAAUAGUGGGUCUGUCUGGAGCAAUAUAAACUGGGUUUGGGGGAGUUACCUUUGUGGCUCAGCGGUUAACAAACCCAACUAGGAUCCAUGAGGAUGCCGGUUCGAGCCCUGGCCUCACUUGGUGGGUUGGGGAUCUGGCAUUGCUGUGAGCUGUGGUGUAGGCUGCUGACUUGGCUUGGAUCCUGUGUUGCUGUGCUGUGGCAUAGGCCUGUGGCUACAGCUCUGAUUUGACCCCUAGCCUGGGACCUCCAUAUACUGAGGAUGUGGCCCUAAAAAGGAAAAAAAAAAAAAAAAAAAAAAAAAAAAAAAAAAAAAAAAAAAAAACUGGCUUUGGGGAAGGACUUAGAAGGACUUUGGGGAAGUGCCAUCCACUUACUCAUAGCCCAGCUGGGGAGAAGCUAUAAAUGCUUUGAAGGAUGAUUCUGUGUGUUGAAAGUUAACUUAAUGGGGUUUUGGCUCAGAUGCCACUUUCUUUUGUAUCUUGCUUGAGUCCCUGUGGACUUCUCCAGGCCGGUCGGAUGGUGACAGCUAUGUAGGUACAGAGAGAUGGCUGUCUGGGCUGUCGUCCUGGGGGUGGCCCUGGUCUAGAAGUCUUUGAAGUCUUCUAGUUUUUCAUUCUCUCUCCACUCCAUGGAGCCUCCAAACAAGCACAGCUUGCAGCCCCCACCCCUUGCCAGGGGCUCCUGCUGCCAUCUCGCCCCCCAUCCUGCCUCUCAUCCACAAAGGCUUUUUAAAAAUGCUGGUGUCUUCAUGUACUCCAGUGUUCAUUGCAGAACUCUUUCCAAUAGCCAAGACGUGGAAACAAUCUAAAUGUCCAUUGAGAGAGGAGUGGAUCAAGAAGAUGUGGUGCAUAUACAUAGUGGAAUAUUACUCAGCCAUUCAAAGAAACGAAAUACUGGCAUUUUUAGCAACAUGGAUGGACCUAGAAAUUAUCAUGCUAAGUGAAGUCAGCCAUACAGUGAGACACCAACAUCAAAUGCUUUCACUGACGUGUGGAAUCUGAAAAAAAGACAGAAUGAACUUCUUUGCAGAACAGAUGCUGACUCACAGACUUUGAAAAACUUAUGGUUUCCAAAGGCGACAGUUCGUGGGGUUGGGGGAUGCGCUGGGAUUGUGGGAUGGAAAUCCUAUAAAAUUGGAUUGUGGUGAUCAUUGUACAACUAUAAAUGUAAUAAAUUCAUUGAGGAAUAAGAAAAAGAAAAGAAAAAAAAAAAAAAAAAGCUUGUGUCUUGGCUGUAAGCAUUUUCAUCCUGUAGAAAGGCUCUUGGGGAGAUGUUCCGUUCCUCCCAUUCCUUUGGCUGAAGUUGCCUUGGCCACCUAAUCCCCUGUCCAUGCUGGGCACUCUGGUACCCUGGGCUUGAAUAAAUUUUAUUUUCAAAGGUUAAGACUGGAUUUCAGCAGUCAACUCUCCCACUGACGUCUCUGUUAUUUUCUGAACCUAUGAGAAAGAGUGAGAGCUGGUAGGUUUAUGAAGGGACAAGCUCUCCUCUGCAACGCUGGUGCUGGAAGGGGCUGUUGUUACUUUGCAAAACCUCAAGUGGUGUCUUCUCUGUGCUACUGCAACAGGAGAGAGGGGACUGUUUCUGGUGGGUGCUGCUUGUUCAGAAAGUCCAUGAGCAAGGCCGGGGGCUGUGGCUUUGUCCCUCUGCCAGUACCAUUUGAUGCCAGAGGGAGGAAAGGGAUGGAAAAAGAAGAUGGAGAAUGGUAGAGGAUAAAGUGCAAAAAGAGAAAGAGGCAUUCAUUUCUCCCAUGAUCUGCAGCAUCUGAGGAGCAAGCGCUUGUUUUACAUCUUAUUUGGCUUGACAUACUUGCAUCCUCUUGGAUGAGCUACUAAGCAGUACUAGGUGGCAAAAAGAAAACAAGCAUACACACACCAAAACAAAGAAAAUGCUCCUGAACACCCCAGUUGCAUGGAAAUGAUAUUAAGUAACUACAGUGUCUGCCAACAUAUUCCUGCAAGGAAGGGCAGCCAGAGAACAGCUGGUUUGGAGGCUGGGGAGUGAAGGCAGCGUGUCCUGGGCAUCCUCAGACUGCCCUGAGGACUCAGGAGAUACCCUGUACCUCAGCAGGCUGCUGUUCUGGGUAGCAGCCUUCCCUCCCCAGGGGCCUGCAGGUCCUUCUGCAAUUCCUCAGCCUCCUUUCUCUGGAGGUGAUCUCUAGAGGGAGCAGGUGCUCACCCUGCAGGCUCUAUGGCCAGAGCCCCAGCAGGCCUGAGGCCCUGCACUUCCAUCUCCUGCAUUCUGUCUCUUCCUCACCAUCAGCCCUGUUGUGCAGGGAAGGAGUCUGAAGUAAGCAGGCUGAGGGCAGCCAGCGUCAGCAGGGUCCCGGGAGGUUACAACCCACUGGCUCUUUGACCUGAGUGUCCUGAAAGGAACUCGCGGUUGCGUGGAUAUGCGAUCACUCGUGGAACGGUCAGGCCAUGUGGAUAGAAACAGCUUUCAGCUCAAGGUUCUCGAGUGGUCAUCUGAAGUGAAGAUUGCAACUUUAACAUGAAGAUCACUUCUCCUCACCCCACCUCCCACUUCUGUCCCCAAACACGGGUCACUCCAUCUCUCCUGUUUCUGGGGUCCCUCCACUUCCCUCCUCACCUGCUGCCAGUAUCCUGGUUCACUCUCCAUCAUCCCCGCCUUGUCCGGUCAGUGUGGUCCUAACUCGGGGGCCCCAUCACCAUGUGGGUGGCACUUGCCUGUGCUACAAAGCUGACUGUGUCUCUCUCCCACUGUCUUCCUUUAAGGGCUCCUGGCUACCCUGGGGAAAAAAAAUCUCACCUUCCAGAGCUUGGCAUUAGCAGUCUGGCCUCACCUCUUCAUAGCCUCCCUCUUCCCGGUCUCCCUACCCACCCGUGUGACUGUGGACUUCUUGUCCUCCCCACCUGUUAUACACGUCUUUCCCUCUUUGGCUGCCACCACCUCCUUCUCUUUUCCAGGACUCUGGCUCUCUAGGAGCAGUGAUCGCCUGACCCAGCCCGGCCUUGACAUAUGUUCCGUGCUUCUGCAGCACCCUUUGAUUUGACUUGUCCUUAAACUGACCACAGGGCUACUUACUUGUCUAUUUCUUAUUUCUUCUUUUAUAUAUUAGACUCUAAUCUCUUUGAGGAUAGCCACACUUGCCUGAAACAGUUGCUGAUUUUUUUUUUUUUUUGUCUUUUUUACCAUUUCUUGGGCCACUCCUGAAGCAUAUGGUGGUUCCCAGGCUAGGGGUCAAAUCAGAGCUGUAACCUUCGGCCUACAC